rnacentral:tRNA from 1 species
GUAGUUGAAGCUGAAGUUUUCAGCACCUAACUGUUAAUUAGGAGGUUGCCUUAUGGCCGUCUACG